AAUCAAGUGCCUUAAGGGUGUUCGGUGGAUGCCUUGGCGCUGAGAGGCGAUGAAGGACGUGCUACGCUGCGAUAAGCCGUGGGGGAGCUGCGAAAAAACUUUGAUCCAUGGAUUUCCGAAUGGGGAAACCCACCUUCGAUAGCCGGAACUCCAAGACCUUGGUCUUGGGGUUGUGAGAGAUAAUCAAACGAUCCUUGACCGUGAGGUUUUGGAUUUCCGGUUAUCAAGAGAAGGUAUGAGACUUCUGAAUACAUAGGAGGUUUCAAGCAAACCCAGGGAACUGAAACAUCUAAGUACCUGGAGGAAAGGACAUCAACAGAGACUCCGUUAGUAUGGCGAGCGAACGCGGACCAGGCCAGUGAUACAUCAAAGACAAUCGGAACCAGUCAGGAAAGCUGGGCCUCAGAGGGUGAUAGCCCCGUAC
rnacentral:rRNA from 1 species